UAAGGAAUAUUGGUCAAUGGACGCAAGUCUGAACCAGCCAUGCCGCGUGAAGGAUGAAGGUCCUCUGGAUUGUAAACUUCUUUUAUCUGGGACGAAAACGGGAUUUUUAUCUCAAUUGACGGUACCAGAGGAAUAAGCACCGGCUAACUCCGUGCCAGCAGCCGCGGUAAUACGGAGGGUGCGAGCGUUAUCCGGAUUUACUGGUUUUAAAGGGUGCGUAGGUGGGCUUAUAAGUCAGUGGUGAAAUCUCCGAGCUUAACUUGGAAACUGCCGUUGAUACUAUAGGUCUUGAAUUAUCUGGAGGUAAGCGGAAUAUGUCAUGUAGCGGUGAAAUGCUUAGAUAUGACAUAGAACACCAAUUGCGAAGGCAGCUUACUACACAAUCAUUGACACUGAGGCACGAAAGCGUGGGUAGCGAACA
rnacentral:rRNA from 1 species